AUCCCACGAAAAAUUAAUUAACAGCUAACCGCCCAAACCAGCGGGCUUCCAUCUGCUUCUCCCGUUGCCUAAA
rnacentral:tRNA from 1 species